GCAGGCUGCAACUCGCCUGCAUGAAGUCGGAAUUGCUAGUAAUCGCGGAUCAGCAUGCCGCGGUGAAUACGUUCCCGGGCCUUGUACACACCGCCCGUCACACCAUGGGAGUCGGUAACACCCGAAGCCGAUAGUCUAACGAGAGAGGACGUCGUCGAAGGUGGGAUUGAUGACUGGGGUGAAGUCGUAACAAGGUAAC
rnacentral:rRNA from 1 species